rnacentral:rRNA from 1 species
AGAGUUUGAUCCUGGCUCAAGACGAACGCUGGCGGCGGGCUUAACACAUGCAAGUCGAACGAGGUUCACCGAGUAGCAAUACGAGGGAAGGCCUAGUGGCGUACGGGUGAGUAUCACGUGAGAAACCAACCCCGGUCUCUGGGAUAACAGACGGAAACGACUGCUAAUACUGGAUGUCGUCGUACCCUCGCAUGGGGGGAUGACGAAAGGGUUACCGGAUCGGGACGGUCUCGCGGCCUAUCAGCUUGUUGGGGAGGUAACGGCUCACCAAGGCUUCGACGGGUAGCUGGUCUGAGAGGAUGAUCAGCCACACUGGGACUGAGACACGGCCCAGACUCCUACGGGAGGCAGCAGUGGGGAAUCUUGCGCAAUGGGCGAAAGCCUGACGCAGCCACGCCGCGUGCGGGAUGAAGGCCCUAGGGUUGUAAACCGCUUUUAACAGGAACGAAAAUGACGGUACCUGUAGAAUAAGGUGCGGCCAACUACGUGCCAGCAGCCGCGGUGACACGUAGGCACCAAGCGUUGUCCGGAUUUAUUGGGCGUAAAGAGCUCGUAGGCGGUUCAGUAAGUCGGGUGUGAAAACUCUGGGCUUAACCCAGAGACGCCACUCGAUACUAUUGUGACUAGAGUUCGGUAGGGGAGCGGGGAAUUCCUAGUGUAGCGGUGAAAUGCGCAGAUUUUAGGAGGAACACCGGUGGCGAA